rnacentral:rRNA from 1 species
UGGGGAAUUUUGGACAAUGGGCGAAAGCCUGAUCCAGCAAUGCCGCGUGUGUGAAGAAGGCCUUCGGGUUGUAAAGCACUUUUGUCCGGAAAGAAAUCCUUGGCUCUAAUACAGUCGGGGGAUGACGGUACCGGAAGAAUAAGCACCGGCUAACUACGUGCCAGCAGCCGCGGUAAUACGUAGGGUGCAAGCGUUAAUCGGAAUUACUGGGCGUAAAGCGUGCGCAGGCGGUUUGCUAAGACCGAUGUGAAAUCCCCGGGCUCAACCUGGGAACUGCAUUGGGUGACUGGCAGGCUAGAGUAUGGCAGAGGGGGGUAGAAUUCCACGUGUAGCAGUGAAAUGCGUAGAGAUGUGGAGGAAUACCGAUGGCGAAGGCAGCCCCCUGGGCCAAUACUGACGCUCAUGCACGAAAGCGUGGGGAGCAAACAGGAUUAGAUACCCUGGUAGUCCACGCCCUAAACGAUGUCAACUAGUUGUUGGGGAUUCAUUUCCUAGUAACGUAGCUAACGCGUGAAGUUGACCGCCUGGGGAGUACGGUCGCAAGAUUAAACUCAAAUGAAUUGACGGGGUCAUAGCUG